rnacentral:rRNA from 1 species
GUGGGGAAUUUUGGACAAUGGGCGCAAGCCUGAUCCAGCCAUGCCGCGUGUGGGAAGAAGGCCUUCGGGUUGUAAACCACUUUUGUCAGGGAAGAAACGGUUUGGCCUAAUACGCUGAGCUAAUGACGGUACCUGAAGAAUAAGCACCGGCUAACUACGUGCCAGCAGCCGCGGUAAUACGUAGGGUGCAAGCGUUAAUCGGAAUUACUGGGCGUAAAGCGUGCGCAGGCGGCUUUGCAAGACAGAUGUGAAAUCCCCGGGCUCAACCUGGGAACUGCAUUUGUGACUGCAUGGCUAGAGUGCGGCAGAGGGGGAUGGAAUUCCGCGUGUAGCAGUGAAAUGCGUAGAUAUGCGGAGGAACACCGAUGGCGAAGGCAAUCCCCUGGGCCUGCACUGACGCUCAUGCACGAAAGCGUGGGGAGCAAACAGGAUUAGAUACCCCAGUAGUCC